rnacentral:rRNA from 1 species
ACGGGAAGGUGCAGCAGUUAUCGGAUUACUGGGCGUAAGCGCACGCAGGCGGUUUGUUAAGUUGGAUGUGAAAUCCCCGGGCUUAACCUGGGAACUGCAUCCAAGACUGGCAAGCUAGAGUCUCGUAGAGGGAGGUAGAAUUCCAGGUGUAGCGGUGAAAUGCGUAGAGAUCUGGAGGAAUACCGGUGGCGAAGGCGGCCUCCUGGACGAAGACUGACGCUCAGGUGCGAAAGCGUGGGGAGCAAACAGGAUUAGAUACCCUGGUAGUCCACGCUGUAAACGAUGUCGAUUUGGAGGUUGUGCCCUUGAGGCGUGGCUUCCGAAGCUAACGCGUUAAAUCGACCGCCUGGGGAGUACGGCCGCAAGGUUAAAACUCAAAUGAAUUGACGGGGGCCCGCACAAGCGGUGGAGCAUGUGGUUUAAUUCGAUGCAACGCGAAGAACCUUACCUACUCUUGACAUCCAGCGAAUCCUGUAGAGAUACGGGAGUGCCUUCGGGAACGCUGAGACAGGUGCUGCAUGGCUGUCGUCAGCUCGUGUUGUGAAAUGUUGGGGUUAAGUCCCGCAACGAGCGCAACCCUUAUCCUUUGUUGCCAGCGGUUCGGCCGGGAACUCAAGGAGACUGCCAGUGAUAACUGGAGGAAGUGGGGGAUGACGUCAAGUCAUCAUGGCCCUUACGAGUAGGGCUACACACGUGCUACAAUGGCGUAUACAAAGAGAAGCGACCUCGCGAGAGCAAGCGGACUCAUAAAGUACGUCGUAGUCCGGAUUGGAGUCUGCACUCGACUCCAUGAAGUCGGAUCCGCUAGUAAUCGUGGAUCAGAAUGCCACGUGGAAUACCGUUCCCGGGCUUGUACCCACCGCCCUCCCACCAAUGGGAGUGGGUGGCAAAAAAAUAGUAACUAACCUCCGAGGCGCUACACUUGGUCAGUGUGGGGGGGGGGGCAACAAAAACC